AGGCCUGUAGAGACAGAGGCAGGGUCUGAUCCGCAGCCUCCAUGGCAGCUGUUGAUCAGCAGUUGCCUCUCUCUUUCUCUCUG
rfam:Myotis brandtii contig206891, whole genome shotgun sequence.